CUUUGUGCUGCAAAAUGGUUUUGCAUCAAGGCCAUCGGCGUCUCUUGAUGUACCUUUUGAAACAUUUUGUCAGGGCAUAUACCCGUAUGGUCCACUCUGGGACCAUUGUUUGGGAUAUUGGAAUGCAAGCUUGAAGGACCCUCAAAAAGUGUUGUUUUUGAAGUAUAAUGAUAGCUGACUUCUUAGGUCAUCCAUUUUCAGCUGAGGAAGAGGAAGCAGGUUUGGUUGAAGAGAUAGCAACGCUUUGCAGCUUCGAAAAUCUUAAGAAUUUUAACUGUAACAAAGAGGGGGAGAUACAAACUGUUUUUAGAGCUAAGCAUAAUUCCUUUUUCAGGAAAGGAGAAGUCGGUGAUUGGGUGAGUUUGGUUCCUCCAUCCAUGGCGAAACGACUCGAAAAACUGAUGCAAGAAAAGUUGGGUGAAUCAGGGUUGACACUGGAUAUCCAUGGCAAUUCUGUCUGAAGAAGAUGAAUGUUGGAUAGGACGGAUCCAUGUUUCAACAGUUUUUCCUCAAAAAACAAAGAAAACAAAAUAAAAGGCCUAACUCAUUUACGUUCAAAUUCCUAACUUUUGGAUGUGUGAUCUCACUUAAUCCAAACAAGGAUGUUUGUUUACACCACCCAUUCGACUAAUUCUUAAUCAUUAAUUGUAUUGGUUCACUGCAGACUAAAACCCCCAAAAAAAAAAAAACUUAAUUCUUUUUUUUCCCCCUAAAGUGAGAAGGGUACUACUAUCGGCAAACAAAAAUUUGCGCACAAUUCUAUGAGCAAAAUCAUUAUUUGAUUGGUCCUCUCUCGAGGGUAGGAAUAGUGGCUCCCACUUCUUCUAGACUUUUUCAAUUUACGUAGAAUUCAAACACAAUUUACAAAACCAUCUCCAGACUAGAAACCCCCAACAAGACUUAAUGAGAAGAGUACUACCAGCAUACAAAAGUUUGAGCACAAUUCUAAGAGAAAAUCAUUAGCUCCAUUUGAAGAAGUAAGAAAAAGAGUUAAACGAGUCAAAGUGGGAGUGAAAUUUUUUAUUGUACUCUAAAUUGCUCAAUUCCUUAGUUUGGAAAAGGCAAUGCAAGUAAUCUCAAUUGGUCCACAAACUUUGCCAUGAGUUAAAAUUCUUCCCAAAUAACUGGUACAAUUUUGUAGCACCCACCAUGUAUUAACUUAUUACAACUACAAUAGAAAGUACAUGUUAGUUUUUUCAAAUUUGUACGUCUAGACAUUAUUAUAUUUUGAAUUUUUGUGCUGUUGGCCGAAUGUUGACUGUUAAUAGCCACCGACAUUGUAGCUGUCCCUGCCUCUUAUCCGUAAUGUGUCAGCUAGAAAUGUUGGAAAUGUUACAUGUGCACAGAUGUGUAUGGUAAACAUGGUGCAAAACAGAACAUUUCCAUCAAAUUUAAUGAAAGGUAAAGGAUACUAACGCACAGCAAUAAGCAACAAUAACUUAAAGAUCUUGAGGGUGGGAGCUUCAAUCUUGAUCUGUAUUAGGGCAUUUGUUUUAUAUUCUUAAUUUUGCAGUUAGAACUUUUGAGCUUGAAUUUCCAAAGGUGGCGGGAUGGCAGAGAGAAAUGCCCAGAUGAAAAAACAUGCAUAACAGUCUAGUGCUCAUCUUUACGAGAUACAUUUGCCAUGGAAUUCCAUCGUCAACCCUGAUUCACCGGAAUUUUCUUAGGCCAGAUCUUUAAGUUGGUUGGCCAUGGAAGGAGUAAAGUGCCAUUGACUGAAUCUUAAGUUCGCUGAACAGUGUCACUGAUUGGACCUAAUCGAAAUAAACUUGAAGAUUUAGGCUAUAAACUUUUUAAAAUUAAGAGUUUAAAGUACAAAGUAUCCGGAAUACAAAUUUAAGAUACAAAGUGAAAAAAUGAUAAAAGUUUAAGGGUAUAAAGAGAAAUUAGUCCAAUUAGGAUUAACCCUUAAGCAAGGACCAACGCUCAUCAGAUUAAUGACUUCCUUGGAUCUUGUUUCAUUUUCCUUGUCAUUUUACGCACCAAGCCUGGCAAAUUUUAGUAAAAGAAUUUUUUUAUAUGAAAUUCGUUUAAACCGUUUUAGUAUUUUGUUAAAUAAAUUUUUUCAUCCUUUAAUUUUUAAAUAAUAACUUUAUAUCUCUUGAAGUAUUGAAAGGUAGCCUCUAACUAGCAUCUAUUAUCGUUCCUCUAACUUCUAUGCCUUGCUACCUGAUACGGAUAGUACGGCGUAUAAUGAUAAUAAUAAUAACUACUCCUAUUAAUUUUUACUGCACCAAUUUUAAAAUUUUUUGUAAUGUAAAACUUUACAUCGAGAUGCACAUUAAAGACAUACAUUUUAUGAUCACCUGACUUGUGGUACCUCGCACAUUAAAGCACCUACUUUAUUAUCUGUAGCCAGCUAUGAUCCAAUGGAAUUAAUAUAGAAUCCUUUUCCACCAAUUAAAUAUCACAAGACUUCAAGUAUGGUUAGCCUCUCACUCUCAUCGACUGUGUGAUUGAUGCACACAGAUAUUUGACAUAUGAAAGAGGGGUCUCUCUUAGUAGUAAUAUUUAUUUUGUAACUUUUAUUGAUGAUUUUGUCAGAAAAAUUUUGUGUUUUGUUUUGAAAUCUAAAUAUCAGGUUUCAUAUAUGUUCAAAGAUUUUCGUAGCAAAGUUGAGAGGGGCACUAACAAUUUCUUGAGAUAUUUUUCCCUAUCAAUUGAUAGUUAUGUGAUAUUCAAUGAUGGAGCCAAGGGGGGCAGAGGGGGCCAUGGCCCCCCCUAAGUUUUGAGAAUUUUAAUUCAUAAUAUGUAAAUAUAUGUGUAAAAUAAAAUUGGCCCCCCCAAAUUUUUACAAUUUUAGUGAGAGUUGAUAUAUAUAUAUAUAUAUAUAUAUAUAUAUAUAUAUGAAUUAGUCAUCUUUGAAUGGAAUGGCUUGCAAGCUUUUAAUUUGACAUGAAUGUCCAUUUGCCUAUUACAUUCAUUGUUUGGCUCAUAGGUUUCAACUUGCUUUAUUUGCAGCUUCUAGAGAAGUAGCUUCUGUUCACCAAUUCUUCUCCAAUUUAGUUUUCAUUAUCAGCAUUGUUACUGCAUCUAGCAAACGUAAUGACGAAUUAAAGAAGGUUCAAGCAAUUGAAGUUGCUACUAAGAUUGCUAAUGGUGAACUUGAAACUGGAAGGGGGAUUAAUCAAAUUGGCACUUUAAAACGAGUUGGAGAUACUCGUUGGGGUUCUCAUUUGGAUUCUAUUUCUAGUUUACUGAAAAUGUUCAAUGCUACUUGUGUGGUUUUAAGUAACAUUGCAGUAGAUGAAAAUCCAUACUCUCAACGUUUGUUUUCACUUUGCAUCUUAUGAAAGACAUUAUGGAAGUUACUCAUCUUCUUUGUAUAGCAUUGCAACGUAAAUCUCAAGAUAUUUUGAAUGCAAUGCAUCUUGUCCCAAGCACAACAAAGCUACUGAAGAAUUUUCGAGAUUCGGGAUGGGAUGAUUUCUUGGUGAAAGUUAAAUUAUUUUGUAAGCAACAUCAAAUUGACAUCCCAUGUAUGAAUGCUCAAUAUAUUGCAAGAUGUGGUAGAUCUCGAAGUAAUCAUGAUGAGAUUAGUGUGGAGCAUUAUUAUCGAGUGGAUAUAUUUCUUGCAACAAUUAAUUAUCAAUUGCAAAAGUUACAUAGCAGGUUUAAUGAUUAUAUCGUGGAAUUGUUUGUUUUGAUUACUGCUUUAGAUCCUAGAAAUGGAUUUAUGCUAUUCAAGAUUGAUGAUAUUUGUAAACUUGCAGAGAAGUUCUAUCCGAAUGAUUUUAUAGAGUAAGAACUAGUACAUCUAAGAAUAGAACUUCAACAUUUUGAGCUCGACAUUCCAAAUCAUCCUGAAUUGCAAGAAUUAUAUUAAUGAGUUAUGUCAAGACUUGGUGAAGACAAGAAAAUUAGUGAUAUAUCCUUUUAUUAAUAGAUUGAUUAGACUUGUUCUUACUCUUUCUGUAUCAAUUACAACUACAGAGCGGGCAUUUUCAAUUAUGAAAAUAAUCAAGACAAAGCUCCAAAACAAUAUGGAAGAUAAUUUCUUCAAUGAUUGUCUAAUUGUGUAUAUAGAAAAGGAAGUUGCUGAAAAAUUUAGCAGUGAUUCAAUCAUAGAUGAAUUUAGUUCUAUGAAAGAGCGUAGAGCUCAAUUUACUUCUAAAAAAAGAUGUUGAAAUUUCAAAGUAUGUUAACAUAACUUUUAUCUUUUUUCAAUUGAAAAUAGUUACAUUUAUAUUACAUGGUUAUAUAUAUAUAUUGCAUAGGUGACAUAUUGGAGAGCAACUUCUUAUAAUGUGCAAAUUGGAUGGUUUGUGAUGUUAUAAAAUAUUUAAUCAAAGGUUAUCUUUUUUGUUAAUUUUUGUUAUGACUGUACCGCAUAUUUAUGAAUAGACGUACCUUUAUAAUUAAAUUUAAUAUUUGAUAUUUUUAGAUGUCAUAUAUUUAAAUAGAAGAAAAUUAUUUUGAACAUAAUAUAUUAAGAUAAUUUUAUUAGGAGAAAAUUUUGGCCCCCCUAAAAAAAAAUCCUGGCUCCGUCACUGGUGAUAUUAGCUCGUUAGGACUCCUAAGAAACAAAGGCGGAACAAGUUUACUAUUUUUUUUUUUAUUUUUUCAUAUAUCGAAUGCAAAAUCAAGGUGGAGAUGUGUUAGCAUUAAAUAACAUGCAAGUGGCUUUCCAUCCUCCGUGUCUUUUGGUCAGAUGCAAUGGGGUAAGAAGCUAAAUUUCUACCGUCCUACAGUCGUACUAGUAUGAAGGCCAAGUUUUGUUUUCCUUUGAAGUCGAAAAUCAGCAAUAAUCUUGGUUCAUAUACUGUACAAAUUUCAGUCGCAAUUUUGCCUAUAUAAAGAGGGACUUUCAAAAGCCUUGGAUUGCACCACACUACAUUGCUUAAACGUCGAGAGACAGAGAGCUCAGGGAGAUUUUUCCAUUUGUCUAAAUUUAUUUAUAUUUAUUUUUUGUAUUGCCUCUUUCCUGUUUUGGAAUUGGUCCUAAACUUUGAAUGCUUCUUUAUUGGAAUUUGCUCACCUCCUCCUGCCGUAGACAUAGAUUUAAUUGACUGAACCACGUAAAUUUUUAUGUCAUCAUCUUUUAUUAUUUUCUUCACAUUUUAUUAUAAUUCUCGUUAUUAUUUUUGUGGGUUAUCAAAUUAACUUUUCGUAACAAUCCAGGCUGGAUUCUAACACGUGAAAUGUCGAAUACCCGUAAAAUGAUAUCUUCAACUGAAGCGGAGCAAAAAGAUGAUCACUUUAAAGAGUUUUUCCAGAGGUUGCAACCAAAGAAGCUUGUAGAAGGGGAGCUGCUGGCUAAUUACCAAGGCAUUUGGUUUGUUGCAGAUUUACUUCGAGCUACACUAACCUUUCAAAAGCACUUCAAAGCCAAUGACUCUGACAUUUUUUUGGCCACCAUGGCAAAAUCAGGAACCACAUGGCUGAAAGCCCUCGCCUUCAGUAUUGUUAACCGUAACAAUCAUUCAGUUGAUGAGAGCCCUUUGCUCUUCUCCAACCCUCAUUAUCUGGUUCCUUUUCUCGAGAUGCAUCUGUACAAGGAUGGUAAUAUUCCUGAUAUAGAUGCUAUGCCUUGCCCGCGAAUCCUUGCGACUCACCUACCUUAUCAAUUGCUUCCAAGCACCAUUUUGGAUUGUUCCAACAGUCGAAUCAUCUACCUUUGCCGAAACCCUUUGGAUGUAUUCACCUCUACGCGGCACUUUGUGCUGCAAAAUGGUUUUGCAUCAAGGCCAUCGGCGUCUCUUGAUGUACCUUUUGAAACAUUUUGUCAGGGCAUAUACCCGUAUGGUCCAUUCUGGGACCAUUGUUUGGGAUAUUGGAAUGCAAGCUUGAAGGACCCUCAAAAAGUGUUGUUUUUGAAGUAUGAGGAUCUAAAAAAGGAUAUCAAUAGCUCCGUGAAGAAGAUAGCUGACUUCUUAGGAUAUCCACUUUCAGCUGAGGAAGAGGAAGCAGGUUUGGUUGAAGAGAUAGCAACGCUUUGUAGCUUCGAAAAU
rnacentral:lncRNA from 1 species